CAGGUUGGAGUGAGAACCCUCCCCGCUGGCCACACCGGCUCCUGCUCACCAUACAACUGGUACAAGAAUCGGCAUUUAUUUUAUUUAAUCUAAGUAUUUUUUAAUACGCUACUGUGGCCAGUUACAGGCUGAGCACCCGCCACCCCCCCUCCCCCACCACCACCACCUCCCUCUCCCUUAAAUAGCAGUACCAAUAGCCCAUGUCUCUCCAAAGGAAAUACAGCCGGACUACAGCUCCCAGAAACCACUGGGCAAACCAGGAAGUAGACGUCCUUGCUACAAGCUGGCCAAACAAUUAAACAUUCCAAAACAAGGGAAAAAUCAACCUGAACAGACAAUGACAGUUCUACAAGUAUACCAAACAAACCCAAGACUUAUCAUUAUCUUCACCAAGUAGACCCAACAGCACAGCAGACAGACAGCAGAUGCCAAAGCCAGCAGAAAAAGAUUGCUCUUUGACGACACCUCAUUACAGCAAGGGCAGCUGUGGGUCAGACGGGGAAAAAAAGCCACCAGCUCGAGGGGAUCCAUCUCUGACACAUAUGGACGUCCCUUCAAGCUCUGAAGCCCUUUGUCAGAGGACCCAGCAUGAAGGGGGGAAGGGGGGUUGAGUGAGUGUCUGAGUAGUUGCUUGUCAGCUGCUAUGAUGAGCUCGCCCAGUGCCUUUAGUGUUACUCACAAUCUAUAACCACUUUAAAUCUGACAUGGCUGGUUCCGUAAUUGUCACAUGAGUAACAGGAAAAUAAAAUCUCUCAUGUCAAGAACUAAAUAAAAAGAUUAGUAUGAGGUUUUGCUAAUUUGCAGCCCAAAUAAACACUGUUUUUUCGAUUUUUAAAUUGCGCCAUCAGGAAUGGCGCUAUCUAGUGGCUAGACUUUGUAAUGGGGUAUUUUUUUCCCCCGUUUGGCAACAUCUUUGCAUAAUAAAACGUUUUUUACACCGAGGUUAUAGAUCCAAAGAGAAUCACAUCUCUAACCUCAUCAUCGUAUCUGUGGUUCUUUUUCAUGUCUAUAUCAAAUUUCAAGAUGAAAAUAAGCCAACACCCCUCAGAAUUUCUGCCCCUUUUUCUAAAUAAUUACUGACUCUCGGAAGUCUCGGAAGAGCAGCUAUGGUGACCAUGCUCCUGUUGAAGUUUUAAAAGAAGAGAAAGAAACCUUUGACCGUGAUAAGCUCCUCUUCCUCUUAGGGAUCUUCAUUUGUUUCAAACAUUUUAGACUGAAUUAUUAUAACUGAAGGAUAAGAGAAGGUCAUGACAAUGACGGUAACACUCCUGGUAGAGGGGAGGCAGAUAAUGUCUGAAAUAAACCAAAAAAUGGUAUCUAUCUUUAUAUGGUUUUAAUUUUUUGGAAUUGGUUUCAUUGAAAUUGUAACGGCUCUUUUUGUGGG
ensembl:lncRNA